rnacentral:rRNA from 1 species
AAUAGAUACCUGGGUAGUCCACGCCGUAAACGAUGGAUACUAGCUGUUCGUCCGCCUCGGCGGAUGAGUGGCUAAGCGAAAGUGAUAAGUAUCCCACCUGGGGAGUACGAACGCAAGUUUGAAACUCAAAGGAAUUGACGGGGGCCCGCACAAGCGGUGGAGCAUGUGGUUUAAUUCGAUGAUACGCGAGGAACCUUACCAAGGCUUAAAUGUAGAUUGACAGGACUGGAAACAGUUUUUUCUUCGGACAAUUUACAAGGUGCUGCAUGGUUGUCGUCAGCUCGUGCCGUGAGGUGUCAGGUUAAGUCCUAUAACGAGCGCAACCCCUGUUGUUAGUUGCCAGCGAGUCAAGUCGGGAACUCUAACAAGACUGCCAGUGUAAACUGUGAGGAAGGUGGGGAUGACGUCAAAUCAUCACGGCCCUUACGCCUUGGGCUACACACGUGCUACAAUGGCCGGUACAGAGAGCAGCCACUGCGCGAGCAGGAGCGAAUCUAUAAAACCGGUCACAGUUCGGAUCGGAGUCUGCAAC